rnacentral:lncRNA from 1 species
ACUGAGGCUGGUUCCCUGACCCGACUGCUAACCUCUCAAUCAAGAGCUCGAACCCUCUGACAACCCCUCCUAUGCACCCUACGAACCUGAUAGGCUGACAUCAAACCUCUAGGCAUCCCUACUGUGUUCCCUCAGAAGAAAAUCUCUGACCCAUCCUGUCCUCUGAACCUGACUACCUUGUCUCUACAUACCAAGAUAGCACCACGAGCAGAAAAACCCAGUCCAACCCUGAACUGACGUCCAGACAGUCAAGUCUAGGACCUCAAAGUCGAGUGGAAGGCAUCUACCCUCAACUGAAACAGAACUGGACCGGC